rnacentral:rRNA from 1 species
UACGAAGGGGGCUAGCGUUGCUCGGAAUCACUGGGCGUAAAGCGCACGUAGGCGGAUUGUUAAGUCAGGGGUGAAAUCCUGGAGCUCAACUCCAGAACUGCCUUUGAUACUGGCGAGCUUGAGUCCGGGAGAGGUGAGUGGAACUGCGAGUGUAGAGGUGAAAUUCGUAGAUAUUCGCAAGAACACCAGUGGCGAAGGCGGCUCACUGGCCCGGUACUGACGCUGAGGUGCGAAAGCGUGGGGAGCAAACAGGG